UCCUCCAGAUAUUUUUUCUCUCUCUUCCUCUCUCUCUUUUUCUACAACUUUCCUUGUUUUUUGCAGUACGAGACGAUCUCACUCUCAUACCAAUCCAUUUCUCAAAUUUUCUCCGAUUCUUGGUCGAAGGUUUAUGUUUAUUCCUUGUUGCGAUGUUUGAUUUGCUUUUCUAAAUUUAGUCCUCUGUAUCUUUUCUUGUUUACACUUGAAGCUGGAAUCCAUGGUAUCAAGCUUCAUACUGAUAACAGUUGCUAAUUAAUAUUGGUUUCUAUUCGAAGGGGUGCGCGUUCUUCUUACAGGUUUAAUUGUCCGAAACUGAAAGUACAUCUGGUAGUCAACCAAUUCCAAUUGAAUGCUUGAUAACCAUCAUUGCUGCUGCUAUUCCUCUGUCCAAGGUCUCAGCUGAAAAUUAAAAUGAGAAAGUUAACUUGAGCGUUCAACAUUGGAGAGUAAAUUCCGUGGCUUUAGUGUUGGAGUGUUUAUGAUUAAAAGUUACUUUCACGCGGGCCACGUAGUAAGAAGUCAAGUUAGGAUAUUUUUCACAUCUGCAGGCUAUACAGAUGGCUCUAAUCUACCGGGAUGUCUAUUGAUCUGAAGGAAAAUCUAUUCGCUUUUGAAUGUUUAAGGAACCCGAUGGCUGGUCCUUUAUAAAAAAGCUUGGGACAUUGAACCACAAGUCUCUAAACCUGUCAAAAGAGGAUUCAAUCCCUUCAAAAGCCCUCCAGUCCUCUCCUUCCCAAUCCCAGAAGGUGGCCAGGGGAAUGAGCCGUGAGUUAAUGAGCAUGGAAAUAUAAAUCUGUCAGUGCCUAUGGAGCUCAAACCUAGAAGAUUGCGCGGUGAUAAUGAACGCGGUGUCGGCUGCGGGAUGGAAUGCAGAUGGCAGAGGCAUUGGCUGUGAGAUUGAAGAGAUUAUUAGGGUUGACAAAAUCGAACCCUAGUUUUGUUUUAUUAUUUUGCUCUUUGAUGUGAAUUUCAUAACUUACCCUUCCUUUUAUUACACCUUAAAUGGGUUCAUCACAAUACCCUCCUCUUGAGCAUCAACCUUGUCCGUAAGGUUGAAUUGUAGAAAUUUUUUCUUUGAGAGUUUUUUCCAUAACAAUUUUUUCCAUGGCCAUUAUUGUUUUAUUUGCACAACAGUGCCCUGGAAAAUACCUAUCUUCAUAUUUGUAAUAGACUGCUGAUCUUCUAGGUUUUGCUUUAUUUCCUAUGCUCCUAAGGGGUCUAUCAUUAUAUCAAUAUUUUUCUGAUAAUGGAGCAUCAUUGUUGGGAAGAUAAGGAUUCAUGGACAACUCUAUUACUGAUUGUUUAUGCAGUUAAAGCUGUUCGAAUGUUUAAUUAAGCAUUUGUGGCUUGAGGAAUUUUAUCGUGUGUUGUAGUUGUUUUACGUACUCAAAAAUGGUACUUGUUUGGUGUAAUUUAACUCCUUUAUGAAGUCUUUCCGUAAGGGUCCUCCGAAUCGUUAAUAGAGUUCUUUUACAAAAUAUUCCUAAUCCAGGUUAUCAACAUCUAACAUUUUAUUUAGUAUUUCAAGAUGUAGUAUUAGAGAACUUUUUGGACUUGGUAGUGGUCAAAAGAUUUGUUCCUCUAAAGUCAUCUCGAUUCAUGGACUUAACCUCAAACAUUGGGAAAAAAUCAUAGACCCGAAAGCUGGCUAGGACCCCUAAAGCCAUCUCGAUUAUGGCACAACAUGUGGAUCAAGAGAUGUCUGGGGCAUUGAGACAACCACGGGAUGCCGAAGCAACUAAUGGAAUCCAGAAGGGUCAUAGUCUUUUGACUACUUUCAGAACUGCCUAGGACUGCUACCAUUACCCAACAGUACCCAGAAUUAUGGAGGAUACUGAUAGAACUCUUGAGCACUAAUUUGCUAGAAUCAGAACUCAGGAUUGGUGCUUUAGCUGUUGCAGCACUGGUAUAGUUACUCUAGCACUUGGUCAAAUAGAAGUAUAGAAAACAAGCUGUUGGUUAAUUGAUGUAUAAAGGACCAUAACUGAAUAGGCCAUUAUGGUAGUUAGCUACUGAUGUAGUACAAAGUAAGGGCUAACUUGCUUAUUUAGGGAUUUGGGGUUGUUUCAAGGAAUUCUUACGUAUGAUGCCUAAUAGUUGGUAUAGAAACAGAACACUAACAAGAAGCCAGAUAUGAUACCCCUAAUAGUUGGUAUAGGAACAGAAAA